GUUGUCCGGAUUUAUUGGGCGUAAAGCGAGCGCAGGCGUUUUUUAAGUCUGAUGUGAAAGCCUUCGGCUCAACCGAAGAAGUGCAUCGGAAACUGGGAAACUUGAGUGCAGAAGGAGGACAGUGGAACUCCAUGUGUAGCGGUGAAAUGCGUAGAUAUAUGGAAGAACACCAGUGGCGAAGGCGGCUGCUGGUCUGUAACUGACGCUGAGGCUCGAAAGUAGUGGGUAGC
rnacentral:rRNA from 1 species